UGGGUAACCUGCCUCAAAGAGGGGAAUAGCCUCCCGAAAAGGGAGAUUAAUACCGCAUAAUAUGUUUAGGUCGCAUGACUUUAACAUCAAAGGAUUUUCUUUUAAGAAAUUCCACUUUGAGAUGGACCCGCGGCGCAUUAGCUAGUUGGUGAGGUAACGGCUCACCAAGGCAACGAUGCGUAGCCGACCUGAGAGGGUGAUCGGCCACAUUGGAACUGAGACACGGUCCAGACUCCGUAGGAGG
rnacentral:rRNA from 1 species